rnacentral:tRNA from 1 species
UGCCCCAUGGCUGAGUUGGUUACAGCGUCCGACUGUUAAGCAAUCGGAAGGUCGUGAGUUCGAGCCUCACUGGGGCAG